GNAAUUAUUGGGCGUAAAGCGCGCNCAGGCGGAUAGGUCAGUCUNUCUUAAAAGUUCGGGGCUUAACCCCGUGAUGGGAUGGAAACUGCCAAUCUAGAGUAUCGGAGAGGAAAGUGGAAUUCCUAGUGUAGCGGUGAAAUGCGUAGAUAUUAGGAAGAACACCAGUGGCGAAGGCGACUUUCUGGACGAAAACUGACGCUGAGGCGCGAAAGCCAGGGGAGCGAACGGGAUUAGAUACCCCGGUAGUCUUGGCCGUAAACGAUGGGUACUAGGUGUAGGAGGUAUCGACCCCUUCUGUGCCGGAGUUAACGCAAUAAGUACCCCGCCUGGGGAGUACGACCGCAAGGUUGAAACUCAAAGGAAUUGACGGGGGCCCGCACAAGCGGUGGAGUACGUGGUUUAAUUCGACGCAACGCGAAGAACCUUACCAGGUCUUGACAUUGAUGGACAGAACUAGAGAUAGUUCCUCUUCUUCGGAAGCCAGAAAACAGGUGGUGCACGGUUGUCGUCAGCUCGUGUCGUGAGAUGUUGGGUUGAGUCCCGCAACGAGCGCGACCCCUAUCUUAUGUUGCCAGCACGUAAAGGUGGGAACUCAUGAGAGACUGCCGCAGACAAUGCGGAGGAAGGCGGGGAUGACGUCAAAUCAUCAUGCCCCUUAUGACCUGGGCUACACACGUACUACAAUGGGAGUUAAUAGACGGAAGCGAGAUCGCGAGAUGGAGCAAACCCGAGAAACACUCUCUCAGUUCGGAUCGUAGGCUGCAACUCACCUACGUGAAGUCGGAAUCGCUAGUAAUCGCAGGUCAGCAUACUGCGGUGAAUACGUUCCCGGGCCUUGUACACACCGCCCGUCACACCACGAAAGUCGGAAGUGCCCAAAGCCG
rnacentral:rRNA from 1 species